UGUAUUAUCUUUUUAACAGGCAAAAAUGUUAUUUGUGGGAGGCAUGGCCAGGAGGAUGGAAUGUUGAUACAAAGGUGAUGAACCGUGUCCUAAAACAGUAUAACCUGGGUCACUCAUCACCAAACAUGCUCAUCAAAUAACUGCAUAGAAGCUUCCUCUCACCUUUCAACUGGCUGACUUUUCUCCCCUAGGGACAUUAGUAUUACAUUGAUUAUAGUGUUGUGGCUGUGUACUGGAGCAUACUGAAGCUCCUACCAGAGAAGGAGAGCUUUGGAAGGUUUGCAGAACCGUUUCAGUGGAACGAGAGCUCUUUAUUUUGGAUAAUACCUGCGUAUGAAAUAAAAAUGCGUUUUGCUGUGCGUUACGUUAAAUUGGUUUCUAGCCCUUUUAAUCUGAAGGUAGGGUGACCAGAUAGCAAGUAUGAAAAAUCUGGAUGGAGAGGCAAUAAGGUCUAUAUAAGACACAGCUCCUAAUAUCGGGACGUCUGGUCACCCUCUCUGUGGGUCUUAAAGUACUUUACAGAGCACUCCAUUUCCUGACUUGACCUGGUUCUGCAGCUGUUUUUUGCGUAGUUCUUGUGACAGAUAGGGCAACUUCUUGCAAUAUCUUCGGGAAAUAUUGAGUUUAGAUACCCUUGGAGUCCCUUGUCUUCCAUGCGAAGGUUAAGUAUUAUUGUGGGCCUGGAUGAUCAAAGAACUAUAUUGACCAAUAUGGCAGACAAGAAUCAACUUUUGGGACGAUACGUGUGAAGUGGAUUUCCUGGGAAAUAUCUAGGAGGAUGUGAAUGCAAGUACCCUCACUUCAUGCUCUCUCCCCCCCCCCCCCCCCCCCCGGUUUUGCAAAAAUCCAGCCCUUUGAAGCUACAACCUGAUGAGAGGGCUAUUGUCUGCUGAGUAUCUGUUCUCAGGGUCCCAAUAUCAAAGGCCCAAACU